CCAUAUAUCUAACAAUCUCCCACUUGGACGAGAUACUCAUACAUAUGUACAAACCUUAGCAUUAUAUGUUACAUUAUAAUCUUAUGAGCUCAGAAUUGCUAUCAUAAUAAAAUUGUCAUGAACAAUCCGGUUCAUCAAUCAUACCAACAUAGGAUCUAAGAGCUCUUAGUUACUCUUGCGUAACUAGAACCAACAUAGAUCACGUAUAUCAAUAUAACCAAUGAUAUGGAUCAAGUAUAGGUGUGUAAAUUGGAAAUAACGUAAAGUGUGGUCUGAAAUAGAAUGUCUAUUUCCAACUGGUUCUCUUUAUUGAGAUCAAUCAUAAACCUUAAGACUACAAAAAACUUUAAAACUGAAUAUCUG
rnacentral:lncRNA from 1 species